AGAGUUUGAUCCUGGCUCAGGAUGAACGCUGGCGGCGUGCUUAAUACAUGUAAGUCGAACGGGCAUCGCAAGGUGCUAGUGGCGAACGGGUGAGAAACGCGUUGGUGACCUGCCUCAAAGAGAGGGAUAACAGAUCGAAAGAUCUGCUAAUACCGCAUGUGUUCACGGUAGUUAGAGAGCCGUGAAGAAAGCCGAAAGGCACUUUGAGAGGGACCUGCGUCCCAUCAGCUAGUUGGUGAGGUAACGGCCCACCAAGGCGAUGACGGGUAGGGGACCUGAGAGGGUGACCCCCCACAAUGGAACUGAAACACGGUCCAUACACCUACGGGUGGCAGCAGUAGGGAAUAUUGGUUAAUGGGCGCAAGCCUGACCCAGCAACGCCGCGUGAGUGAUGAGGGCCUUCGGGUUGUAAAACUCUUUUUAUGGGGAUGAGGAAGGACAGUACUCAUAGAAUAAGUCUCGGCUAACUACGUGCCAGCAGCCGCGGUAACACGUAGGAGACGAGCGUUAUCCGGAUUUACUGGGUGUAAAGCGCGUGCAGGCGGUAUUGUAAGUUGGAUGUGAAAGCUCCCGGCUUAACUGGGAGAGGUCGUUCAAAACUGCAAGACUAGAGUAUGUCAGAGGAGAGUGGAAUUCCGAGUGUAGCGGUAAAAUGCAUAGAUAUUCGGAAGAACACCAGUGGCGAAGGCGGCUCUCUGGGGCAUAACUGACGCUCAGACGCGAAAGCUAGGGUAGCAAACGGGAUUAGAGACCCCGGUAGUCCUAGCCGUAAACGAUGUGAACUUGGUGUCGGUGGGUUCAAAUCCAUGGGUACCGAAGCAAACGCGAUAAGUUCACCACCUGGGGACUACGGCCGCAAGGUUAAAACUCAAAGGAAUUGACGGGGGCCCGCACAAGCAGCGGAGCGUGUGGUUUAAUUCGAUUUACACGAAGAACCUUACCAGGGUUUGACAUGCAAGUGGUAGGGAAGGGAAACCGGACCGACCCUUCGGGGAGCUUGCACAGGUGUUGCAUGGCUGUCGUCAGCUCGUGUCGUGAGAUGUUCGGUUAAGUCCGCUAACGAGCGCAACCCGCGUUGUGUGUUAUAUGUGUCACACGAUACUGCCGGUCUUAAGCCGGAGGAAGGUGCGGAUGACGUCAAGUCAGCAUGACCUUUAUGUCCUGGGCUACACACACGCUACAAUGGCCAGUACAACGGGUAGCGAAGCCGCGAGGCGGAGCCAAUCCACAAAGCUGGUCUCAGUUCAGAUUGCAGGCUGCAACCCGCCUGCAUGAAGCUGGAGUUGCUAGUAACCGCAGGUCAGCUAUACUGCGGUGAAUACGUUCCCGGGCCUUGUACACACCGCCCGUCACGUCAUGGGAGCUGGUAACACCUGAAGCCGGUAUCCUAACCGUAAGGAGGGAGCCGUCGAGGGUGGGACUGGUGACUGGGACGAAGUCGUAACAAGGUA
rnacentral:rRNA from 1 species